GUUGGUUUAUUGAAAGGAAACCCUUUUUUUGUCUGCAUUCCAGGAUUUAAAAGAAAAAAUAGAAGCUGGGAUUAGAGCCAGACUGGGGAGAAACGAUGCAGUCUGUCAGCAAGCCCUCAGGUCUCAUGAAGAAAGAAUAAGUGAAAGUUGGGCAGUCUUUCCAAACAUAUCUCCUUUUAGAAAAUUCUUCUUAACUUUUCACAACAAAAGCAGAAAAUCUGAUUUUAAGCUUGAUGACCUGAAAUGGGACUGAUGAGUCCCCAACUUAGGAACAACUGGGAGUACCCAUUGGUGCACAGAACCACUAGGAUUGCCUCUGCCCAGCACAUCCUACAAAAGUUUUGUGCAGUGCAAAUCACUCACACAAAACCUGGGUUUGCAAUGCUGCGGUUGCCAGAGAAUAGUUAUACUAUAGCAGUGCAAGGAUGAGAGUUCACGAGAUUCUUAUAUUCUUCAGUUUUUCUCCACACUACAUAAGCUCUAAAAUCCAAAAACAACAACAAAACAACACCUCCCAAACCCCAAACCACAAAGAGAUAUUUAACUGAAUUUUUUCAUGCUGACAAGGCACUUAAUUCCAGAUUUUACAAUGUGUAAACAUUUUUUUUUUCAAUCUGCCUAGAAUGAAAUCUGACAAGGGCUAGAACCUUGUGUUUUUGGGGUGAAUUAUGUGUGCUUGCUCCUGC